AUAGGUGGGAGGCUUUGAAACCAGGACGCCAGUUUUGGCGGAGCCAUCCUUGGGAUACCACCCUUGUAGUACUGGGACUCUAACCAUAGGCCAUGAAUCUGGUCUUGGGACACUGUCAGGUGGGCAGUUUGACUGGGGCGGUCGCCUCCCAAAAGGUAACGGAGGCGCGCAAAGGUUCUCUCAGUACGGUCGGAAAUCGUACGUAGAGUGUAAAGGCAAAAGAGAGCUUGAUUGCAAGACAUACAGGUCGAGCAAGGAUGAAAAUCGGACUUAGUGAUCCGGUGGUUCGGCGUGGAAGGGCCAUCGCUCAACGGAUAAAAGCUACCCUGGGGAUAACAGGCUUAUCUCCCCCAAGAGUCCACAUCGACGGGGAGGUUUGGCACCUCGAUGUCGGCUCAUCACAUCCUGGGGCUGUAGUAGGUCCCAAGGGUUGGGCUGUUCGCCCAUUAAAGUGGUACGCGAGCUGGGUUCAGAACGUCGUGAGACAGUUCGGUCCCUAUCCGUCGCAGGCGUAGGAAAUUUGAGAAGACCUGUCCUUAGUACGAGAGGACCGGGAUGGACGUACCUCUGGUGUACCAGUUGUCCUGCCAAGGGCAUGGCUGGGUAGCUAUGUACGGAAUGGAUAAGCGCUGAAAGCAUCUAAGCGCGAAG
rnacentral:rRNA from 1 species